UUUUGUAGGUGAAAAUGAAAAGGCACUAUGAUAUAAUGAUGCCAUUGAAGAUGCAUACUACACUCCUCUUCAUGUUUCACAUGCCACCACCAUUAUCUUCUUUCAUUGUUCUCUGUUGUUAAGACUUAAUAUAGGGAGAGUGAUGUGGGGAAUUAGUGUUCUCAGUUUGGUUUGUUCAUGUGGACUAUGUGAAUCUGUUCAGACACCACAACACUCCAAAAUCUUUAUCAAUCCAUUUCAUCCUCUGAUGGGUUGUGUUUGAAAUUGACUAUGGUGUGAUACUUAUGUCAAAAACCAGCAAAAUAUUGACAAUGAUUGUUGAAUACAUGCGGCAGAUGCAAAAUAUUGACAAUGAUUGUUGAAUACACGCGGUAAU
rnacentral:lncRNA from 1 species